rnacentral:rRNA from 1 species
UACGAAGGGGGCUAGCGUUGCUCGGAAUCACUGGGCGUAAAGCGCACGUAGGCGGAUUGCUAAGUCAGGGGUGAAAUCCUGGAGCUCAACUCCAGAACUGCCUUUGAUACUGGCAACCUUGAGUCCGGGAGAGGUGAGUGGAACUGCGAGUGUAGAGGUGAAAUUCGUAGAUAUUCGGAAGAACACCAGUGGCGAAGGCGACUCACUGGACGACUGUUGACGCUGAGGUACGAAAGCGUGGGGAGCAAACAGG